UACGAAGGGGGCUAGCGUUGCUCGGAAUUACUGGGCGUAAAGGGAGCGUAGGCGGACAUUUAAGUCAGGGGUGAAAUCCCGGGGCUCAACCUCGGAAUUGCCUUUGAUACUGGGUGUCUUGAGUAUGAGAGAGGUGUGUGGAACUCCGAGUGUAGAGGUGAAAUUCGUAGAUAUUCGGAAGAACACCAGUGGCGAAGGCGGCAUCCUGGACCAUUACUGACGCUGAGGCGCGAAAGCUAGGGGAGCAAACGGG
rnacentral:rRNA from 1 species